CCCGCUCCCAGCUCGGGACCCCAGACAGUGCCAGACGCCUCCUUGGUGGGCAGCUCCUGGCUGCUCUGCCCGUCUGCAGCCUCCAGGCCACCCUGGGAGGCCCAGGUUCCGGGAGGUAUGAUCAGUGUGUCCACACCAGACUGCAGGCAGAGCAGAGUUGAGGGACCAAGAAGGGUUGGGACAGGUGGGCAGGACCCCAGAACCACUCACAGCCCCGCUGGGUGGAAGCAAAUGGCCCCUCCUCACCCCUGCCCACCUUCUUGGCAGUCUGCCCCCAGGACUGGUCAGACAAGUUCUCGUGGCUGGCCUGGGUGUGGUCACCCUCUGGUGGGGGCCAGCAACGGGGCAAGGCGGGGAGCCUGGCACGCUAAGUCCUGGCACAGGGUCAGGGCAGUGACCCAUCUGUCCCACGCCUGGAGACCUCUGCAUGCCACGCGCCUGCCCUGCCCUGCUGUGGAGCUGGUCACCAUGCGUCAGGGAAGGGCUGGCAUGGCGUGAGGACCCGUCUGUCCUGCGUGGCCAGCUCGGCUGCCACCUCCUCGCCUUGUCUCUGCCCUGCCCGGAACACCAGGGCGCCCCAAGCUGGCCUCAAUGCUCACUCCCUGCCUGGCAUCCUGGCUUACAGUGGUGAGGCAGUACCUGCGCAGAGCAGCCUAGCGCCUGGUGCUCAGCCCCAGAGAGGCCCCCACCCUGCUCAGCAGACCAGGAGACGGCCCAGCACCCACGGCCCCAGCCUCCUCCUGCCUCAUCCUCAAGGCCUGGUCCAGGCCACCUCCUCCCGGAAGCCCAGGCCCCGAGGCAGGACAGGAGGUGUGCAGGAAUUAGAUAUUUCCUGGGAAACUAGAAAAACAUCCCAGCUGAGGUUGGGAGGUGAAUCACCAGUGGGCAGGGCGUGGUCCUGGCUGUCUGGGCUCUCCUGUCCCAACCUUCCACUCCCUGAAACCUGCAGCACCUGCUGCACCCACCACCCUCUUGUCGACACGCUCCUUCUCUUGGAGGCCUUUCCUGGGGUCCCCCCAGUUCCAUGCGCUGUAUCCUCCUGCUGUCCGACCCAUGGACUGACCCCAGCUCACAGUCUCAGUCUCGGCCCCAGGGAGCGCAGUGUCCACAGUGACUGUGUGUGUGUGUUCUCGGGUCCACAUAAAGGGGCAGAUGCCCUGUGUCCAGCUACAACCCCCUCCCAAAGGAGCCUGCAGCAAAGAAGAAUUGCUGGGAGGAAGAUCACCCUGCUUUAUUGCCUGGGCCUUAAGCCUGCAGGGGUGGGCAGAGAAGACAGACAUGAACUCAGUGGAGUGGGAUGGCUGCCCACGAGCCUGCGGCCCAGGAAAGCCCCCACCAGGAGCAGCGUGCCUCGUCCAAGCUCAGCAUCCCCAAGGCAUCAGUGCCGGGGUGCCAUCACCUCCAAAUGUGUGUGCAAGGCUAGUGUCAUGGGUGUGAGCCAAGUGUGAGCAAGCAGCAAGGGCCGGUGUCUCCCAGCUGCCACCCCUGCCAGGGAUCCUCCCCCUCCCCUGGUGGCAUUGGUCCUGGGAUGGAGCUGGGAAUGGGGUCGGGGAGGCUGAGAGAUGGGAGAGAAGGGGGCUGACCCUGCAGUGCCCCUGAGUUCAGGGCAGUCCCGGCGGCCAAGGGCUUACCUGUGGUGGCAACACGGCAGUCUGUCCUCUCGGUCUUCUGAGCUCUAGGUCCCAGUGCCUGAGUUGAG
rnacentral:lncRNA from 1 species